UCCCUGGUGGCUCAGCAGUGAAAGAAUCUGUCUGCAAUCCAGGAGACUCAGGUUCGAUCCCUGAGUGGGGAA
rnacentral:tRNA from 1 species